UAUAAGUAACUUACCCAUAAUAGUGCAAAACAAAACUGAAACACAUAAUUAUGAACACAGCAAUACCAAAUUGAAAAUUAAACGUAUGAUUUCAGACGAAAUGCGGCGAUAAGUUUUGGGACUCCUAUAAAAGCAGUUCCCGAUGCUACCUACGAGACGUGUCGGGAACCUUCUGACCGAAUUUACACCGCCAUUGAUGGUUAAGAGGGAGUGGGUAUUGGACGAGUCAACGAUUACGAAGUACCUUUCCCAUCGACCUCUUGCAGAAAUGCCUUAGAUAAAAACGACGCGAACAUUUACUCAGAGUCGGUCGAUUGAUGCAAUGUCCCUCUAACGGAUGAUAUUAAGUGAAUGUCGCUGACCAGCUACAUGUUUGAUGUAUGCAUCAGACAAUUUUGCAUUCUAAGUGAUAAACUAUGUAAGCUAAUUUAAUGAGUGUGGUUCAUUUGUAAACAGAUCGUUAAGUUUAUGUACGGCUUUGUGUCCCUCAAGUGCCUUGCCUACGGACAAUGCUCUUCUGUUGUCUUUAUAUAUGUAUAGUACAUUUGUGUAUUGUAUUUUUAAGAGUUUUGUUUAUUGAUUAAUAUUUGUAAUUUCUAGCAUUUAAUGUGCAAGAUGAAACAAUAAAAUAAUCAUUAUGUUAUCCAAAAUAAAUAUCAAUAAUGCGA